UUUAAAGUGCACACAAAUAGUUAAGGUAAAAAAAAAAUGUUAUAAAAUAUUUACUUCUUAAAUUUGUUUUUACAAGAAGCUAUAUUUAAUUGGAUUACUAAAGUUGGUUGCCAAAUAUGGAUUGUCGUUAAGUUUUGCCUAAUCAAUAAUAAAAACAAAAAUUUAGAAAGUGCUUUCUUAUUAAAUAAACAAUAAAAACGAGGGGAAAACCAACUUACAUAUGAAAGAAUAAAUGAAACUAUUACAUAAUAAUGGAAUGAGUAUUGAUUAUUAUAUUAUUAAUUUUUGACCGACGUUAUUUAAUUGCUCCCAGAAGUCUUAACAGUCUUAUCACGGAGCACCGCGGGAGAGCAUUUAACUGGAAGUUCACGUCCCCUUUCGCACCAAUGCCGCUUGUUGAGCUAGAGCUAACCACUGCGCCACGGCUGCUAAUGUUUUAGUAGCUGUUUUUUUUAAAGGAUUUUUAAAGCCACGACUGUUCUUAUUUUAGUCGCUGUUUUUUUAAAGCAUGGUUUUACGUUAGUAAUUGACCAUCUAAAAAAUAUUUUUAUCAGUAUUUUACAGUCCUUUGCUUUAGUAGUUGACCAUAUGUUCAAUGAGUGAAAAUGAAAGCUGUAAAAAUUUUUUAAUUUUAUUUCAGUAAAUACAACAGACCUA